GCUAACUACGUGCCAGCAGCCGCGGUAAUACGUAGGUGGCAAGCGUUGUCCGGAUUUAUUGGGCGUAAAGCGCGCGCAGGCGGUCUUUUAAGUCUGAUGUGAAAGCCCCCGGCUUAACCGGGGAGGGUCAUUGGAAACUGGAAGACUGGAGUGCAGAAGAGGAGAGUGGAAUUCCACGUGUAGCGGUGAAAUGCGUAGAUAUGUGGAGGAACACCAGUGGCGAAGGCGACUCUCUGGUCUGUAACUGACGCUGAGGCGCGAAAGCGUGGGGAGCAAACAGGAUUAGAUACCCUGGUAGUCCACGC
rnacentral:rRNA from 1 species